UUUUUUUUUUUUUUUUUUUUUUUUUUUUUUUUUUUUUUUUAGACGGGCACUGUUGAAAUG
rnacentral:ribozyme from 1 species